rnacentral:rRNA from 1 species
UACGUAGGGGGCAAGCGUUGUCCGGAAUCAUUGGGCGUAAAGAGCGUGUAGGCGGCUUGGUAAGUCCGCUGUGAAAGUCCAGGGCUCAACCCUGGAAAGCCGGUGGAAACUGUCAAGCUUGAGUCCGGAAGAGGCGAGUGGAAUUCCUGGUGUAGCGGUGAAAUGCGCAGAUAUCAAGGAGGAAUACCUAUGGCGAAAGCAGGUCUCUGGGCCACAACUGACGCUGAGCUGCGAAAGCUAGGGGAGCAAACAGG